AAGUUCAUGCCACUGCAUGCCAGCCUGGGUGACAGCACAAGACUCUGUCUCAAAAAAGCGAAAAAGAAAAGUAGCUUCAGUCCCUGUCUAAAUUGUUAUAGUUUGUGACUAUUAUCUGAAAUAGUCUUAUCCAAAUUUCAUAUGCAGAUUGAUAAUUUUUCAUUUUGUAUGUAUAUUAGAUGAUAUAACUAUUUUCAUAGAAUACUUUUCUAAUUUAUAAACACUGAAUUAUUAUUAGCUUGAUAGAGUUUCUCCCAAACCUUAUAAAAUUUUGUAACGUACUUAUGUUUGAGCUUUAAAAAUUAUAAAAACUUCAUUUAAACAAGUUGCUGGCAUCCUUACUAGCCUUUCCACCUAUAAUUAUGAUGCAUUUGAUGCCACUGAACAGUAAUAGCACAAAGAACAGGUCUCACAGUCUAGACUGGAUUGAGUUUUAAUUAAACUUCUUCAGCCAUAGCCUGAUAAGAAUCAGGCUGGAUCUAGAAGAGUUAUCAGACUGUAGGCCUGUAUUAAUUUUGCAAGCUAAUGUUAAUGUUUACUGCCAGCCUUGCAUAGCAAUGCCAGUUUGCAGUUGUGACUAUGUGUGUGACUUUUGGUAAAAAUGGUUUAUAUCUAAAGUAGUUUAGAUUUUAUGGAAGUGGCUCUUGAUGGUUUGGACAAGCAGGGUAGGUAAAUUUCAAUUAUGUUUAAAGUGUAAUUAAAUCCUAGAAUAGAGCACUCUCCAGAAAAAAAGUAAGAAUUUAGAGAAUAUCCUGGCAUAAAAACGUUUUUGAAUAAUACAUAGAAUUUUGACAAGGUUCAUACAGUGCACACAGUGUGACCUUUUUUGAGGUGGGCAGUGGGGGUUGCUGCUUUGUGUUGAUUUAAAAUUUCAAGGAGGAACAAAAACAUUCUAGCCAAGGAGAAUUGCAUUGUUAAUUUUUUUCUACUAAUUUAAACGUGCAUUUUUCACAGUUACAUAUUUCUUUAAAAUAAGUUUUGCUACCAAAAAUAGCAAUUUUUCUAGACAGAUAACAUUUUCCUAAAGUGGAAAAGAAAGAGAUCCACUGUUCUAAAAAACAAACAAACAAAACACUAAAUUGUGCCUUCUCCCUUAAAUUAUAAGAAGAGUAAUAGUAAAACUUGUUUAAACUAUGUUUUCUUUUUUUCUAAUCCCUCUCAGUUCUCCUUAGAUCUGCCUCCUACAAGUGAUCAUGUUUGCAUCUGCCUGAUGGAGUUCCUUGGUCUAGCCUUUCACUAUCACUAUCAGAAGUUGUUCACUAAAUGUAUUUCCCUACUUCUUUCAUGUUGAUUGACUUUGUAAGUCACAUUGGUAAACAUAACAUUUGGCUACCUUCUUAUGCUUUAAAAAUUAAUGCAAUGAAUGGCAGUUUUUAUAUUUUAACCCUUUAAAAAGUUUGUCAAGGAAACAACUCAGAGCUAAGAACAAAAUCUAACUUGGAAUCAGUUUCUUCCUUUGGCUGCUGAAGCAGCAGCAAGUCACAUAACCUCAUUUAGUUUUUCCAUUUACAAAAUGUGGAUGAUAACCUACCUCACAGAUGUGUGUGAGCAACUGUUUGGAAGCCCUUGUUUAAAUACAGGGUUUAUAUCCCCACAUUCAAUGUAAAUUCCUUUUUUAAAAAAAAAUAAGUAUCUUUGAUAUUGAUGAGUAUCUUGAUUUUUAGGUAAGAUCACAGUUUCACAAAUUGUGGUGUUCUUAGGUGACAUUUAGUCUUUCUUGAGACCUCAAGUAUUCAAAUAUCAAACUUGUCCUGUGUUGUAACAAAUAUUCAGAAUCUCUUAAAAUGUUGGCUGGAGCUGCCUUAACGUACCAAAAUACAGCUCUCAAGACUGUUCACAAAUAUCUGUGGUUGUACAAUGUUUUGAACAUUUAAUGUAAAGUUGUUACAGAACUGUGAACUCUAAGGAUAGUAUCUUUAUUAUUUUAAGAAGAAUGGUUGUGUUCUUUGUCAGGUAUGCUUAAAUAUACAGUGGAUUUUGAGUGCAACAAAUAAAACUGAAAAUUAACAGCCAUUAGGUUGUGUCAUGACAAUCAUAAUAUAGGAUAUAAUAUUUACUUUUUUUUCAAAAACAUCCUGCAUUCAUUCAUUCUUAGCCUACCUUUGAAAAAGAAAAAAAAAAUCAAUAGGUUGAUACAUUGACCCAUUGGAGUACUUCAUUACGUAUUUAUUGAAAAAUUUUUUAAUUGUUAAAAUUGGGACCACUUUUUAUAAUUGGUUUCAAGAAAAAAAACAAACAGACUUCCAGUGCUUUUGUGUUCAAAUAAUCUCCGAUUCAAAUUUCAGUUUUGUUUGUUAUAUACUUUUUGUGAGUGUUAAAUGAUAUGGGAAGGAUUUGUCUUACAGUAACCAUAUGGAAAAGAUGUUUUUCUGAAUUACAUAGCAUUUUGUAGUUACAGAUUCUUCCUAAUUAAUGUUUGCACUGUAUGAAACUCAUAGGUAACAAACACAAAAGAGAAAAGCAGCCUGAUUGCUUAUAAGUUUUUUUCACAAAAUCAAAUUAAAGUCUCUGGUUCAUUUGAAAGCUA